rnacentral:lncRNA from 1 species
GUACACUACGGGUAUCUCUGAAAGUGUCUGUUGGGUUGACACGGAUCGAGACUGGGAUUUGUCACUCCGUAUGACGGAGAGGUAUCUCUGGGCCCACUCGGUAAUGCAUCAUCAUAAUGAGCUCAAUGUGACUAAGGAGUUAGCCACGGGAUCAUGCAUGACGGUACGAGUAAAGUGACUUGCCGGUAACGAGAUUGAACAAGGUAUUGGGAUACCGACGAUCGAAUCUCGGGCAAGUAACGUACCGAUUGACAAAGGGAAUUGUAUACGGGAUUGAUUGAAUCCUCGACAUCGUGGUUCAUCUGAUGAGAUCAUCGUGGAACAUGUGGGAGCCAACAUGGGUAUCCAGAUCCCGCUAUUGGUUAUUGACCGGAGAGGCAUCUCGGUCAUGUCUGCAUGUCUCCCGAACCCGUAGGGUCUACACACUUAAGGUUCGGUGACGCUAGGGUUGUAGAGAUAUUAGUAUGCGGAAACCCGAAAGUUGUUCGGAGUCCCGGACGUCACGAGGAGUUCCGGAAUGGUCCGGAGGUGAAGAAUUAUAUAUAGGAAGUCCAGUUUCGGCCACCGGAAAAGUUUCGGGGGUUAUCGGUAUUGUACCGGGACCACCGGAAGGGUCCAGAGGGUCCACCGGGUGGGGCCACCUAUCCCGGAGGGCCCCAUGGGCUGAAGUGGGAAGGGAACCAGCCCUUAGUGGGCUGGGGCGCCCCCCUUGGGCCUCCCCCUGCACCUAGGGUUGGAAACCCUGGGGGUGGGGGGCGCUCCACUUGGCUUGGGGGGGAAGCCACCCCCCUCUCCCCUUGGCCGCCCCCCCCUUGGAGAUCUGAUCUCCCAGGGCCGGCGCUCCCCCCCAGGGGGCCUAUAUAUAGUGGGGGGGGGAGGGAGGGCAGCAGCACCACAGCCCCUGGCGCCUCCCUCUUCCCCUGCAACACCUCUCCCUCUCGCAGAAGCUUGGCGAAGCCCUGCCGAGAUCCCCGCUACUUCCACCACCACGCCGUCGUGCUGCUGGAUCUUCAUCAACCUCUCCUUCCCCCUUGCUGGAUCAAGAAGGAGGAGACGUCGCUGCUCCGUACGUGUGUUGAACGCGGAGGUGCCGUCCGUUCGGCACUCGGUCAUCGGUGAUUUGGAUCACGGCGAGUACGACUCCAUCAACCCCGUUCAUUGGAACGCUUCCGCUCGCGAUCUACAAGGGUAUGUAGAUGCACUCCUUGCCCCUCGUUGCUAGUAUACUCCAUAGAUGGAUCUUGGUGAUGCGUAUGAAAUUUUAAAAUUCUGCUACGAUCCCCAACAGAUUAUUAGCGUUUGUUUUGGUUGUGUGAGUCAUAAUUGCGAUUUUCUCUAUUUGUAACCAGUCAAUGGGGGCGGUUCUGCGAUGCUGAGACACGCAUGUUGGGGGUUCGCAACAGUAGUGUGUGGGGGGUAUUUGUCAGACUGUUGUGUUGCUUCAUACUUUGGGAGUGGUCCGCAUGUCAUGUUGGGCUUUUCCUUCUUAGCCUCUCGUAAAUAACUCUGUAAACAUUUUUUAGCAUGAUUUCCAUUAACUAACAGGGCAAUCUUCUUUCAUCUACGUUUUCGAAAAAAAUGGAACAAAGCAAAUCAAGGAGAACACAUAUGCUAAUGCCACCUAGGUGCCUCACGUAGCCGCCGCCUCCACUCCCAGGCUUAGGCUGUCUCCGCCUCCCGCCGGUCCACCUUGUCCCUGGUGACCUUAGGGGCAUGGAGGUGCGGGGGAUCCCAACCCUUGCCGGUGGGAUGGCUCCGUUUUUAGAUGUUAUUUUGAGUUUUGUUAAGGUUUGUGUCCUGCUUAGGAAGGUGAGGUGGUGGCGGCUCCCUGAAGAUGGAAUAAGGUUUUCCCCGCCCAGCCCAGUUUCGGUGGUGCGUCUAGCACCGUAGGUGGGUGUGUGAAGAUGUGUCUCCGCCGGAUCUAUUUUGGUGGAUUUGUUCGGAUCUGUUUGUUGUUCGUUGUACUGUCAUGAUUGAAAAUGAAUAGAUUGAAAGUUUUCCAAAAAAACACAUAUACUACUACAUAUGCAAGGGCACAACACAUCGAAGAACGGCGGCGGCUCCCAACAUUCCCGAGCAGCAGUAGCAGCUGCCCAUGGGCAGGCGAGACCACGGCCCACUGCUUCUUCACUUGUUACAACCGGGAUUAAAAUAAAGCAAAAGCAGACAGUGGUUUUGGAAUCCUUGGCCAAAACCGCGGCAACGCUUCCUGCGAGCUAGCCAGCCAAUGAGCCUCCCGGUUUCGCGAUGCACGGCUCACGGAUGUUCACGCGCACGGACGCACCCACCCCCCACCAGUACCCCGGCGGCCAGCGGCACAUGGAACCUGGCACCUACCGGCGGCUACGGCUGGUUCCGCCUGGUCGCCGAGCUGUCCCGGGUAACAACCAGCCCUUCCUUGUCACUGCAAAUUUUAAUUCACCUAAUUUAGGAUUUGUUUGAAGUAGCUUGGACCUGGUCCAAAAUUACAAGGCUAUAAAUAUGGGUGUGUGUAGGGCACACCUAGUUAUUGCACAUCCAAGUGACUUAAUCAAACAAAAAACAAAAAAAAAAAGAUAAAAGAAAAUGCUCGCACGAAUCUUCAUGUAAAAUCAACGAUAUGAGACUUAGAUGUGCAAUACUUAGGGGCACAUCUAGAUGUGUUUUAGCAAAACUGUACAAAAAAUCUUGAUACACAUGGAAAUUACCAAAAAAAAUCGUUGAAACUUUGAAACCUUCACAAAAAAAGGGAAGUUUGUUGGCAUCAUUCUUUGGCUUGGGAAGCGGAAGCGGAAGGAACCACUCUGCCUCCUUGAAAAAUUAAGUAGAUUUUACUAUACCGAAACACGAAAGAGUACCCCACUUUCUAGAUUUUCCGUAUUUUUUGUGAGAUCCAAAAGUUUUUCGUGAUCAAAUUUAAAACAUAUCUCGUCCACCGUCGCCGGAUGUGGGUUGCUCUCCCAUUCGGCCUCCCCGGCGGUAGGUGGGGAGGACUUUGGUGCCCAGGACGAUGGUAUUCUCAAUAAGCAUGCUCGGCUCUAGUCCCAUCUCAACAACACUGAUGGCGGCGUGCGGGAGAUAGGGGUUGUGUCUCCCAUUGCCCCCUUCAUGUCGGCAGGCUUAGGAUUGUGGGGUGAUGCCAGUGAGGCGAUAAUGACGACAUUGCUUCGUUAUUUGAUCUCCAUCUUUAGCUUUGUUGCUAUAGCAAGCGCUCCUACACCAUCAGCGAGUUUGGGAUGAACAUUUUCGUCUUCUCCAAAAGUGUCGAUGAUGGUGUUUCUCGGACGACGGGUGCUUCAGAGCAAGGUAUGUUGUUGGAGACUUGGAGGCACGCGAAUUCAAUCUUGUCCCUCAUAUUGUCAAACAGAGUCUCACGCUCCAACAAGCAUGGGGAUAGAACCUCGUCAACAUGCCACAACUCGCCGCUUGCAGGGGUCGCUUAAUCAGCUGAUGUAGGACCGCAUGAAUCGACCAGAGGGUGAAUGGGGGAUUUUAACAAUUUCUUUGAAAACAUCAGUUCUUUGAAGAAAAUAGUGCAAAAGAACUACAGUAGAACAAUAAUGAAGGGAACUGAAGCUAGACAAUAGCCAACUCAGAGAUAAGCGAUGCAAAACGACUAAGUUAAGCAAAAUGAGCAAACUAGAUAGAUAGAUAACCGUGAACUGAACAUAGCUAAGAUGGUUAGGUUCCUUGUGAUGGAACCGGCCCACUAGGGUUCAACUCUAGGACUUGGAAGUGGUACUCGCAUUUUUCUAUUCAUUCUUUCCGAUGAUGUUCGUUCAAUGAAAGGAGGCGUUCUUGUCGACUACGAGGAGUCGGUGGUGACUUCGACGAGACACACCCAACAACAUGUUGUUGCCAGCUAUCAUAACGAUCGAAAAUUUGAACUCAAUUCACCGGGUUCCUCGGAACCUAGCUAGGAGAACAUUGACGACAGGUUUUCUAACUCCUCUGUGAAGAAUUCUAACUCGAAUAUUUCUAAGAAUCACCUUCAACACGAGAGCUAGAAAUCUUGCCUGAAAGAAGAUUUCCAGUCCUUCACUGACAAGUGUAGAUAGCUUCGAUUGAGCACACAUGAAGACUUUCUUUCCUGCUUCACCUUGAGGCCCCUUAAUAGUACAUUUUGCAUAUGAAUCCAAAAAGAAUAAAGGAUAGUGACAAACAAUUACACUUCUUCAAGCUUAUCUUCAAAGGGAAACCCGGAUUCUUGAAUGUUACCACAACCUUUUUAGGGGUCAUAGCCAAAUUCCUAGUGACUUUCACUUGUGUAUACUCACAAACUCAUUUGUCCCUUAACCAUUUUUGCCAUUAACCAUUCAAACCCGAUGAGAGGGCACUAGAUGCACUUACAACUCAUAAAGUAGUUCAUGCGAUGGUGUUGUGGUAGAUCUAGCUAGGCGUGGCAGGUGUUUGCCUUCGUACUUCCUGGUGUUGCUUCGACGUUGGCGACGAGGUGAUGUGCGCCCAUGGUGUCGUGUGUAGGGAUUUUUACGGGUUCUUUUGCAAUUUUACAUUAUUCGGAUCAUUUUAUACUUUCUUGGAAAAGGCAUCUUAUAUCUGAUAAAUAUCAAAGAAAACAAUAGCGAGUGCAAAAGAAAGGAAACACGACACAAAACGACUAGCAAAAAAAGGUUGCAUGAAAAGAUCAUACUGGUCAUCAUCUUUCUUCAAUUGUACGCCACCCUUGAAUUUUGAAAAAAAUGAACCGGCAUUAAGAGAAAGGGGCACCUGCAAACUCCCUCAGACCAAGCUUUUGAAGACCGUAAUAGUCAUUUACCAUUAGAAACGAAAGCUAAUAACCGCUGAAGGAACAUCAGUUGAGGCCUCACUCUAUGCAACUUUCAAUCACCAGUACAGAGGGUUGAAAAAAAACCCGGAUCAUAUACCACACAACAAAACGAAAGAAGAGCUCGAAGCCGUUGCACCACCAAGAGCCAAUGAACUCCUUCCAUUAAUUGAUACACCAAUUAUCAAGAUCCAGAGAGAACCAACAGAUCUAGCAACCCCCUCACAGGCCUGUUGUCAACCCUAGAUCAAACAUCGUCAAAGGUGGAGAGAAGCCAUCAAAGAGACUUUAUUCCAACGCACCAUCAUCGCCGCCACCUCACCGAUGGCCCAAAAAAAUCUAAUGGAGACAACGAUCUACAAGAAGUAAGAAAAACAAAAGGGCGUGUUCCACUCCUCUGACCGUCAGACAAAAGAGAGGAGGGGGGCCAAGGCGGUGGUGUGGAGGGUACCAUGGGUGGCGUGGCAGCUAGGGCUACGAGUCUUGUAUACCUUUGCUCUCUAACGCGUUAGUGCAUUAUGAUGUUUUUUUUUCAAAAACACCCCAUUAUAUUAAUUAAAGAAUAAUGUUCUUACAAUCAUUCAUUACAUCAUGCGCGCGCCACACAAGGCGGAACACUAUUAAGCAAAAUACCACCCAUUUUACUAUGAAAACUAAACUUAGCAAUCUCAUGGGCCACCACAUUGGCCUGACGAUUCACCUUAACCAGCCUCACACUUUGCAACAAAUUAGAGAUGCGGAGCGCUAUCCUCUUUAGAUCCACGAGCGCGGACUUGUCAAGAUUACCACUCCGCAAGGAAAGACACCACAAACGCACAGUCAGUCUCUAGGAUAAUAGCGAGUGAAGGGUCAAACCAAUAUAGAGACCGGCGAGGCACACCUAAUUUAGCUCCGCUUCAUCGACGCUCGUACACCGCCCAAUAUAAUCCCACGAUGAUAAGAUGACAUUCCCCGUAGAAUUCCUUGCCACAAUGCCCACAUUGGCAGCCUUCAAACUCUCCACAUAACUAGCGUCAACAUUAAUUUUAAUACACUCAUCUGGAGGGGGACGCCAUCCCACAUCUGCAUUAGAGACAUUGAGCGCCUUCCAUAAUUCUUGAGCCUCCCCUUUUCCUUUAACAAAGACCACUUCAUCCAUAACACGACAUGAGGAGAAAGAAGUCCAGAAGUUAACCACAAAGUUAGCAGAUCCGGAGACGGAUUGCUUCCCAUUCCCAAAAAUAAUAUCGUUCCUCAAAUGUCAAGCUCUCCAAAAUAAAAAUAGCACUUGCUCACGUAGAGGGGAUGUGAGUUGAUCCAACAAGACUAGCAGCCAAUCCGAUCCCGUGAAUCUGAAAGCCUCUUCUCCUGGGAUAUCCCACACGUUCCUCAAAGUCACUCGUAGCGCUCUAGCCUUAGUGCAGGACACUAGAGCAUGGUAAGAAGUUUACUCCUCCACUCCAAAUAGAGCACAUACCCAAAGUGGUUUGAUGAUGCCUGACUCUAUUCACUUGUAUCGCUAAACUAUUGGAAGCGGCACGCCACCCAAAAAUCCGAAUUUUCUUAGGAACUUUGGUUUUCCAAAUUAAAUCCCGCAACCUUCUAUCCCCAUUAUCAACACUACUAGACUGACCCAUUUCAUCCUUCUGGUCUUUGAGGCUGGUGGCAAAAAUGUACGCACUCUUAACAGAAAACAUACCGUUUUUCUCAAAGUGCCAGACAAUGAAAUCACCCUCUUUCGAGGCCUGGACACGAACAUUUAAGAUUUCCUCCACAUCAUGGGGAUAGAAGACAGUGGCGGAGCCAAGAUUUUUUACAUGGGUAUGCGGAACUAUAAUUUUUUUCUAUCAUAUAAUUAUAGUAUAAGACAUAAAAGUUCAGGAUGACCACGAUGAAACUACAAUUUGUCUUUCUAGCAACAAUCUCCAAUAGGUCUGCUGCCAAGCCAAUUUAGAUCUUCUCUCAAGUCUUAAUAAUAAUAAUUAAUAACUAAACUAAUGCAAGUCCUGUCACUCGUCCGUGUCGUGCACUCAGCAGCCUAGGAGGGAAGGAGGCAGGGCUGGUAGUAUAAAAGGCAUGUUGCAAAUAUUAAGGUCUAUUGAUACGGUAGCAUCCCAAUUCCCAAGCAAAUAUUUAAACCCAGGCGGGUAUGGAAUGAAGCGGGAGGGCACGGGAUGGCCAUGCAUUUCGUUUUUCCUGAGUUCUACACGUGAAAAGACUGCUAUCACACAUAUAGAUGUAUAUAUAGGCAUAUACACUGAUUUCCUUUUGCAAAAAAUAUUGGGUAUGCGUUGCAUACCCUUGAAUUAGUCUAGCUCCGCCCCUGAUAGAAGAGGUGCCUGAUCAAAUUUCCAUCCCAGCUUCUCGUCCCACUGAGAAAUAAAUCGGACACCCAUUUGAGCCCAGUCCUAUUCAUUUUUGCUGAAAUUUUAGGACCAGGGAACCUGGGAAGCCAGUUAUCUCUUCAUAUAUUUAUACUUGUCCCAUCGACCACCCUCCAAAUAGCACCUUUUUUCAGCAGCUCUAGACCAUGCAUGAUUCCUUGUCAAGAAACAGACGUAUUCUGCGGAAAAACAGUGUCCAGAAGGUUCCCAUUCAGAUAAUACUUGGCUUUCAUCAAUCUAGCACAUAAGGAAUCUGGAUUUAUUAACAAUCUCCAAGCCUGUUUAGCAAGAAGCGUUUAAUUAAACAUCCUAAGAUUACGAAACCCCAUGACCUAGACAGAAAGCUCUGAAUUUGCACUGGACAUUGUCGUUCUAAAAUUGCACGUCCUGCUGCUCCGAAUUUGCGCACGACAUUGCCAAUCCGCACAGUAGCCAGAAUAGGCUUCAGGCCUGGGAAAAUCACCAGCCCCUCGUACGUAACCACCGCCCUCCCCCAAAUUUAGGCUCCGCGACCCCUCUUCCCUCAUAAAGCACCGCCCCCUUGCACAUGCGACCGUCGUCCGUCCGCACGUCGUCCCUCCCGCGUUCCGACCUCCGUCCGCGCGCCCCCGAGAGGCGUCCUCUUCGCCGAGAAAUGCCGGCGAGGAGGGUGGCCAUCGAUCUGCUCCGGAACGCCUCCCGCGAGGCCUUCCAGGCGGCCGUCUCCACCAUGCUGAAGCCGCCCACCUCCAAGCCCCUCCACCACGACCACCGGUGAAGAGGCAGCCAGCGCGGCGGUCGGGCUCUCGGAACAACGCAUCCGCUUCGCCUCGCAGCAAGCAACCCCAGCAACCGCGUACGUGCGUGCGUACGCACGGGGCGGCAUGCAACGCGACGUGUCUCCACCCACUACGUACCUUCUUCCUGCGAUCCAUGGCUCCGGAUUGGACGGACGCCGUGUCUCCGGUAGACGAAGCUCCGUCGUCAUAUUCUAUGUGUGUGCGUUUGGCUCCACUGUGCGUCACUCCCGUGUACUACAAUGUUAAGCGUGAAGACGUACGUAGUGUACCAUACAUAUACAUGGAUAAUAUAUCUCCAAUGGCAAGGAGGAGCCAUGCAUACACCUCGUCAGCAAAGUGUGCCUUGUGGUAGCUACGAGGGGAGCCCGGUCAAGGUCGCCGGCCCUCGCCGGUAUCGUCUCGCUGUCACUCCCAAAUAUACAAUGCUCACCGAACGAACGACCGCAGUUGGGAACGUGGGAGUGGGAUCGAUAAGAAUCGGCGAUGUGCCCCGGGUCAAUGGCAGGGCCGAACGAGCCAACGAGCGUAACGCCAUUUGCAGCCGGCUAGC